GACGAACGCUGGCGGCGUGCUUAACACAUGCAAGUCGAACGGAAAGGCCCUGCUUUUGUGGGGUGCUCGAGUGGCGAACGGGUGAGUAACACGUGAGUAACCUGCCCUUGACUUUGGGAUAACUUCAGGAAACUGGGGCUAAUACCGGAUAGGAGCUCCUGCUGCAUGGUGGGGGUUGGAAAGUUUCGGCGGUUGGGGAUGGACUCGCGGCUUACGCGCUUGUUGGUGAGGUAGUGGCUUACCAAGCCUUUGACGGGUAGCCGGCCUGAGAGGGUGACCGGCCACCUGGGGACUGAGAUACGGCGCAGACUCCUACGGGAGGCAGUAGUGGGGAAUAUUGCAGAAUGGGGGGAAGCCAGAGGCAGCAACGCCGCGUGCGGGAUGCUGGCCUUCGGGUUGUAAACCGCUGUCGCCGGUGACGAAGCGUGCGUGACGGUACUGGGUCAAGAAGCACCGGCUAACUACGUG
rnacentral:rRNA from 1 species